rnacentral:tRNA from 1 species
GGGCCUAUAGCUCAGCUGGUUAGAGGCGCACGCCUGAUAAGCGUGAGGUCGAUGGUUCGAGUCCAUUUAGGCCA